rnacentral:rRNA from 1 species
AGAGUUUGAUCAUGGCUCAGAUUGAACGCUGGCGGCAUGCUUUACACAUGCAAGUCGAGCGGAGAGAAGUAGCUUGCUACUGAUCUUAGCGGCGGACGGGUGAGUAAUGCUUAGGAAUCUGCCUAUUAGUGGGGGACAACAUCUCGAAAGGGAUGCUAAUACCGCAUACGCCCUACGGGGGAAAGCAGGGGAUCUUCGGACCUUGUGCUAAUAGAUGAGCCUAAGUCGGAUUAGCUAGUUGGUGGGGUAAAGGCCUACCAAGGCGACGAUCUGUAGCGGGUCUGAGAGGAUGAUCCGCCACACUGGGACUGAGACACGGCCCAGACUCCUACGGGAGGCAGCAGUGGGGAAUAUUGGACAAUGGGCGCAAGCCUGAUCCAGCCAUGCCGCGUGUGUGAAGAAGGCCUUUUGGUUGUAAAGCACCUUAAGCGAGGAGGAGGCUACUCUAGUUAAUACCUAGGGAUAGUGGACGUUACUCGCAGAAUAAGCACCGGCUAACUCUGUGCCAGCAGCCGCGGUAAUACAGAGGGUGCGAGCGUUAAUCGGAUUUACUGGGCGUAAAGCGUGCGUAGGCGGCUGAUUAAGUCGGAUGUGAAAUCCCUGAGCUUAACUUAGGAAUUGCAUUCGAUACUGGUCAGCUAGAGUAUGGGAGAGGAUGGUAGAAAUCCAGGUGUAGCGGUGAAAUGCGUAGAGAUCUGGAGGAAUACCGAUGGCGAAGGCAGCCAUCUGGCCUAAUACUGACGCUGAGGUACGAAAGCAUGGGGAGCAAACAGGAUUAGAUACCCUGGUAGUCCA